CGGGUGGGAGACGGUCGAGCAUAGAUGGCGAGGGAAAGCAGGGAGUCUCGAGGGCCAGCCGGCUUCUGGCUUGAGCCAGGUGGGCAACAACAGAAGCUGGGGGCGGGGGGGGUGGGGGGGGGUAAUGUGAAGAGCAGGCCCUGAGUUCAAAUAUGGCGUGGGGGACGGUGAGCCCGUGCUUGGAUACAGGGGUGUGGCGCGCAGAGGGGCUCCCGGACCCGUUGCGCCGCCCUCCCGCAGCCCGGACUCCCAGCCCAGAGCUUGCGGAUCGCUGGCCCCUGGGGCACCUCAUACAAGCCGGGUACUGCGCUUCCGGCGGACACAGCGACUGCCCGCCUGCGCCUUCCUUGCUAGCGGGGUCCAGUUUUGCUAGACGCGCAUCCAUCCAGGCGCUCGGGGGCGGUGGCCCUUCCCCUCCCCAGCCUCAGAGUGAAUUAUAAUGGGUCGGAGCCAAUGGUGGGAAUCCUCCCUUCCCUCGUCAGUGAUUGGCCUGGAGUUGGGCUUGUGACGCCAUCUCGGCCAAUGAGAAAUCUGCAAGGGGGCUUCUGGGAGUAAUUCUCUCCCUCCUGGAAGGAGACACGUGGGAGAAGGAGGAGAUACCCCGCCUCCUCUUUUACUUGAUGUUGUCAGCCCGUGCGUGAUGCCUGGGGCUGCGGCAGCCACCCUGAAAUUGUAAGGAGACGCACCUAUAAACUGCCAAGCAGGACGAUGGCGAGAAUGUCCAUGGGAUCAGAGGGCGACGGCCAGGCCUCCCCCACCAGAGCUCCUCUUCUGGGGUCCAUCUUUCUGAUGCUCGCUAAGUGUCUGUGGCCACUCUACCCACACAGACAUUUGCCUACUCUGCACAAUCCACGUCAAUGGAAGCCGACAUCAGAUGGCCUUUUGGGUCUGACUUCUUUCACAUAACAGAACGUUUUCGAGGCUCGUCCACACGGUAGCCCGAAUCACUAUUUCAUCGCUUUUUGUUGCUAAGCAGUACUCCGUCGUGGGGGCAACACCACGAUUCGUCCUUCGUCAGCUGAUAGGCCUCUGGGUCGCUCCCACCGCUUGGCUGUUGUGAACAGUGCUUCCCAGAACACCUGUGCACAGAUGUUUGUGUGGACACAGGUUUCCAAUCCUGGGAACACACCUGGGAGUCGCAUUGCCGGGUCAGGUGGUAACUGUGUUCAACCUUUCCGGGAAACUGCUCAUUGACUUCCUCGUCCAGUGGGAAGCACGGUGCACACACAGUAGCUUCCAUGGAAAUAUCUGUUUGAUGAACGAGUGAACGGAUAGCUUUUAGAAUGGAAUUCCUAUUUUUUUCCUGCCUAUUUUUCUAUAAGGGUGUUGGUUUUUUUUAAGCUUAUUUACGUAUCUUUGAGAGAGAGACGGUGUGAGCAGGGGAGGAGCAGAGAGGGAGGGAAAGAGAACCCCGAGCAGGGCUGGAACUCACGAACGCUGAGAUCACGAUCUGAGCCGAAAUCAAUCGUCAGACUCUCAACCAGCUGAACUACCCAGGUGCCCCAUAUAAAGGUGUUUUGUUAAACCUCUAAA